GAUGAACGCUGGCGGCGUGCUUAACACAUGCAAGUCGAACGGAAAGGCCCAAGCUUGCUUGGGUACUCGAGUGGCGAACGGGUGAGUAACACGUGGGUGAUCUGCCCUGCACUUCGGGAUAAGCCUGGGAAACUGGGUCUAAUACCGGAUAGGACCACUUCGUAGUUGUUGUGGUGGAAAGUUUUUUCGGUGUGGGAUGAGCUCGCGGCCUAUCAGCUUGUUGGUGGGGUAAUGGCCUACCAAGGCGUCGACGGGUAGCCGGCCUGAGAGGGUGUACGGCCACAUUGGGACUGAGAUACGGCCCAGACUCCUACGGGAGGCAGCAGUGGGGAAUAUUGCACAAUGGGCGGAAGCCUGAUGCAGCGACGCCGCGUGGGGGAUGACGGCCUUCUGGUUGUAAGCUCCUGUCGCCAAAGACGAAUUUAGGACGGUAGUUGGAGAAGAAGCACCGGCUAACUACGUG
rnacentral:rRNA from 1 species